AUGCUUGCUUUGGCAGCAUGUAUACUAAAAUUGGAAUGAUAUAGAGAAGAUUAGUAUGGCCCCUGAUCAAGGAUGACAUGCAAAUUCAUGAAGUGUUCCAUAUUUUU